UGAUCUUCGAAAAACGCGGGAGGUGAGACGCAGGCAGUGAUUUCGCAUGGUUAAGAGAGUGCUGACGUCACAGUUUUUUGUGAAAAAAUUCCCGCAUUUUUUGUAGAUCAAGCUGUAUUGAAACAGCCGGACGCCACGUCUUGCCGCUCA
ensembl:ncRNA T26C12.7 ncRNA